GAGACCUUGAUAGGUUCAAUCUACUUGGUCCUCCGACUCUUCUUUCUUUUACUCCCAUUUCCUUCCAGGUUUGCGGUCCCCCUCGCACCCACGAAUAACUGAGUCCCGCGGGACGGGAUAAGUGGCGCCCGACGUGAGGGCGAGGUCCGGAUCGUAAUUUCUAAUCGGUGGAGGUUCCAGAGAAGUUCGUCGCGACCCCAACAUUUCAAAAGCAGUGAAGGACCCCUUCCGCCGCUCACGGAAGAGCGAGAAGUCCUUGGAGAAUGAAAGCGCCAAAAAAGAAGUCACUUCUGAUCAUCAAGAUUUGGCUGUGUCUUUGCCUGAUGAGAAGCAUAUCGCCAGUGGUAGGCCAAGUUAAGAAAAAUCCUUAUCGACUUUAUAAUUACACCUGGCUGAUCAUCAACGAGGCAGGUGACAUAGCUAAUGCCACCUCCAAGAUUGAAGGCUCUAUUCCAUGGCCCAUCCUGAGAGUCGAUCUUUGUAAAUUAGUCUUAGGAGGUCAUAAUGACUGGGGAACUCACUUAGAGUUCCUGCCACAAGAACAAGCUAUUGACGAUCCUAGACAAGUUGCCUAUACCACUCCUGGAUGUGCUAGUUUAAGUCGCAGAAAAACUCUUGCCAGUGUUUUAAAAAGAUGGGGCAUAUACAUUUGUCCUGGCCCCAGUCACAGGAGUCGCACUCUUAAUUAUAAAUGUGGUUUCGCCCCUGAUUAUUUUUGUGCUUCCUGGGGCUGUGAGACCACGGGAGACACCUAUUGGAAACCCACUUCUGAUUGGGACCUAAUAAAGGUCCGGAGCAGGCCAGAUUAUGCUGCCUGUGCUAGUUCCAACCAGACUUCCAAAGGAUGGUGCAACACCUUAGAGAUCUCCUUUACUGACGCAGGAAGGAAAUUUAAUUGGGAAUAUACACGAGGAGCUGAGUGGGGUUUACGUAUCUAUAAAAAUGAAAAAGAUUUUGGAGUAACUUUCAAAAUCCAGUUACUUAAAAACACCCCAUCUUUAGGGUCGGCUGCUAUAGGCCCCAAUCUCUUUUUACAUUCCUCAUUUCCUAAAAAGCCGAGUAUUCCACAGACUGUUACCUUAGGCCUACCCGGGACUACUAUAUUCCAGCCUACUUUACCUGCUGGAUCUCCCUCCUCCACAGAAUUAAUUUUAUCCUUAGUUAAUGCAUCAAUUGCUACUAUACAUGCAGCUAAUGCUACUCAAUAUGAAGAAUGUUGGGUGUGCUUUUCUCCUCAACCUCCCUUUUACGAAGGGGUGGCAACAUUCGGAUCAGUCGUUACAAUUAAUGAUUCCAGCAAACUUGGAUGGCACCCCGAGAGCCAUGAUGGGCUCACUUUAAGUCAGGUGUCUGGCAUAGGCUUAUGCCUUUUGGGGCCUUCCAUGCUUCCUCCUCAGGCCUUAUUAGAGGUUUGCAAUCAGACUAUUAUAGUAGAGGCCACCUCUAGAUAUCUAGGAGCACCUAAUGGCACUUAUUUAGCAUGUUCUACUGGACUUACUACAUAUAUAGUUACUCAGACAUUUUUAGAUGACAGAGAUUAUUGUGUUGUAGUUCAGCUUCUCCCGAAGCUGACAGUACACCAUGCAGAAGACCUCCUCCAGUUCUGGAAGAGUGACACAGAUCUACCCCGUAAUAAGAGAGAGCCUAUUUCUGCAGUAACCUUAGCAGUGAUCCUAGGCUUGGGAGUUGCAGGCACAGGAACAGGCAUUGCAUCGCUAGUCACUUCCCAGCAACAAUAUACUCAGCUUCACCUUGCUGUGGACAGGGAUAUUCAAGAGCUACAGAGAGGUUUAAAAAAUUUAAAAGAUUCCUUGGUCUCUCUGUCUGAAGUAGUAUUACAAAACAGGCGAGGUCUUGAUUUAGUGUUCCUUAAAGAAGGAGGGUUAUGUGCAGCCCUCAAAGAAGAAUGUUGUUUCUACUCCGACAAGACUGGCUUAGUUCAAGAUAGUAUAGAUAAAGUUAGAGCUAGUCUAGAAGAAAGAAAACGCAACAGAGAAAAACAAGAAUCUUGGUAUAAAAAUUGGUUUUCUACUUCUCCUUGGGUCACUACCUUGCUUCCCACACUCUUGGGACCUUUCUUGGGUAUUCUACUGCUUUUGUCUUUUGGCCCCUGGGCCUUUAAAAGAUUAACCAGUUUUGUUAAGUCACAGAUUGAAGCUGCUUUAAGUAAGCCGGUUGCAGUCCACUACCAUCAGCUGGAUGUCCGGGACUCAGACGAAGAAGAUCCCCCUCCCACCGAGACAGAAACAGCAACUCGUCUCCAGUUUUCCACCCUUGCUGCCAAAGCAGAGUCCCCCUGGUUCCUCAGGCUUUGGAGACAAUAGGGACAAAGAGGGGUGACCUCCAGCUCUUGUUAUAGCUUAAGAGCCACAGAUUGUGGUAUUACAAUUGGCAUUCUUACAGAGGCCUUACUAAGUCUGAGGUUGACAAUUCUCCUACGGGAGCUGCACAAAACUCAGAAUUGUGCAUGCUGGUUCAUGAUAAAUACAAAUCCAGUAUGGGCCCAGCAUGGGUGCAAACUAAGUAUUGCAGGGGAAGGUCCAAAUAGACUGUUUCUGAGUUCCCUGAGAGACAAACCCGGUUAGGAAGAGGUUGGUAUCUAAUUUCAGUUACAAUUAAUAAUUUUUUCAAAGGCUCUGCCUCACCUCCCCAAAAGAUACCGAGAGCCACAAGUGUGGGUCUGUGACAGCACCCUUGGGAGGAAUCGGGUCAAUGUCCCCCCCAGCCAUGGUAAUGCCCGCUCAUCUAAAGAUGAAAAAGAUUAGUUGAUCACCUCAGUUAAGUGUGGCCUUAUUUAAUUUAAUUCAGAAGGGGGAGAUGUCAGAGACCAUCCCGUGAGAAAGUGAGCCCUUCACAAUCUCCCUAGCAGGCCAAAUGGCCUUGUACUGAGAGCUGGUUGUCACCCCCCUUUCCUCCCUAUUCCUUUCCUGGCACCUGAGGCUGUAAAAGCUGAAUUAUAGUCCCCUCUUCCCUAUCUCUUCCUGAGUUCCCAUGCCAUCCAAGGACAUGAGUUACGCCUGAGCCUAGCCUGACCCCCAAGGCUGUCAAGGAGGAUCGAUGUUCCAGAGAUAAGAUCCAGAGUGCCCGCUGCCUGGCGCCUGACUUCGGCCCCCAUGUCAGCAGAUGCCCACUUCUUUGUUCUUUGUAUAAUUCUCCCUCGACCCCUCCCAUAUUCCCCGCGAUGUAUGCUUUAAAAAGAAGGCACCUCAGCCUAAUAAACGAGACCUUGAUAGGUUCAAUCUA
rnacentral:lncRNA from 1 species